CCAUAUUGGCCAGGCUGGUCUUGAACUCCUGACCUUGUGAUCCACCCGCCUUGGCCUCCCAAAGUGCUGGGAUUGCAGGCAUGAGCCACUGCACCUGGCCCGUAGUGUCUUUUUAAGAGCCAAGCACUUUAAUUUUGAUGAAGCCCAGUUUAUCAAUUUUUUUCUUGUGUGAUUUAAUUUUUUAAAUUUCAUUAGUGCAUCUUGAUAUGUUAAUUUUCAUAUUGUUUCAUUUCAUUAUAAUACCUUCGUUAGUUAUAUGGGAUUUUACUGUGUUAAUUUUAACCUUUAAAGUGAAAAGACUAAGACUGUUGAUUCUUGGAAAGCAAAAAUGUAGCUUUAGAUUUUUGUGACAGCUGUUAUUAAUACACAGUUAAGCAGUCAUUAUUUCUUGGGAAGAGUUAGCACUUGUUCCUUAAAAAUAAUUAUAUGCAUAGAAAUAGUGCUUUAGGGCUUAAACACACUUACAUAGUUUAUUUCCUCCAAGGUUGAGUGCGGUAAGGUAUGGGAUGUAGGAUAACAUUAGCUGUGUUUUCCAGAUGAGGAAACCGAGGACUGAACUGGAAUUUGCUUGCUGUUCAGAUUUUUCGAGUUCCUUGUGUGGUUUCUUAUAUCAUACUGUUAAGUGUACUUUGAAAGCUUUGAAAAGCAGUGUUGACCCUUUCUUAAAACAGAUUUCAGGGGAGACAGACAUUUAAAACAGUAGUCUUCUCUCCCUGUCUGGAGUAUGGUUUGGAAGUCAUUGCUUUGUAGUAAGGCAUUGUUCUCCUAGUACGUUGCCAAGGACCAACAGUUGUUAAAUCACCAAGCUAAGAUUUUCUUCUAAAUUUGUAUCGCAUUCUGACUUUGCUUUCUCCCUUCUGUCUCCCAUUAAUGCCCAGUAAAACCACCCUGGACCUCAUGUACCUAAAGCCUUUCCUGAAAUGUGUCUCUCUUUUCAUACCAGCUCCAAUGGGAGCUCCUAUUGGAUUUGUUUCUGGGCCCUGACAGAUUAGCAGGGAAAGAAAGUGCUGUCGAAAAGUGAGAGGGGAGUUCAGAGGUUAGAGGGGAAUCAGAAAAUUAAUGUUGUGAUUGUCAAGAAUGUUUCCAGAAGGCAGGGUUCAUCAGUCCUUGACAAAAAGGCUGAUGAAGAAAAUGGGGUUGAGUGCAGUGGCUCACCCCUGUAAUCCUAGCAUUUUGGGAAACUCAGGUUGGAGGAUCACUUAACUGCGGGAUUUUGAGGUUGCAGUGAGUUUUGAUCAUGACACUGCACUCCGGCGUGGGUGACAGAGCUAGACUCUAGCUU